GGUCUCGAGGCCGAAGCCGUGGAGGCGCCGCCUUGUCAAGGCGGAGGUAGCGGGUGCGACUCCCGUCGAGACCGCCA
rnacentral:tRNA from 1 species